GGCCUUAGGGUCUGAGCCACAACCCACUGAUGUGAAUGGAAAUCUUUCCAUUCACUUCAUUGGGCUUCGGAUCAGGCCCUUAAGUU
rnacentral:pre_miRNA from 1 species